rnacentral:rRNA from 1 species
UACGGAGGGUGCAAGCGUUGUCCGGAUUUAUUGGGUUUAAAGGGUGCGUAGGCGGACUAGUAAGUCUGGUUUGAAAGUCAGCGGCUCAACCGUUGAGGGUGGCUGGAUACUGUUAGUCUUGAACUUGUUGGAGGCAGCCGGAACGGAUCGUGUAGCGGUGAAAUGCAUAGAUAUGAUCCAGAACACCAAUUGCGUAGGCAGGCUGCUAGGACUGAGUUGACGCUGAGGCACGAGAGCAUGGGGAGCAAACAGG